GCUCUGAAGAUCAGAUGGACUCAUGGAUGUGCUGGGAUGUGCUUUAACUGCGGGAUGCACUGCAGAGGUGUGGUAGUGUCUCACUCGCUGUGGCUUUGGAGGGCAGCAUCAGCACAAAAGUCCUGAGCAUGGCUGUUUCAGAAAGCCAGAUUUCAGCUCAGAGUGAGGACACUACCUGAGGACUGAGUGCUCCUGAAUGAGCUGGACUACCUCUCAGGCAGGAAGCACCCCCCAACAAAAGAAGCACCUGCCUAGAUGAGAAAGCAGUGGAGUUUCCUUCAUCACCUCUGGUAACCGAAGUUCCUGACACGGGUCUCUGCCAGGGAAACUCAUCAUAGAUCUAUUUCCUUACUGAAAUGCAAAUGAAGAAAAUAAGACAUGCAACUAUGAAGAGGCAGAGGAAACACAAUGGCAAAAGACAAUCCCUGCUUUGAAGGAACUCAAAGGGAGAGGUACACAAAGUAGCAGACGGUUGCAGGACCAUUUUCCAUAGAGGUAAUAAAAGAGCAUAGAGGCUUGUGAGGUACAGAAGGGCAGAAAAACAGCAUGAGUGAAAUCAGGAUGGAGAAAUAGGACGGCAUGUUCAGGGACUUAAAAGUAGCCCAGUGUAGGCUGAACAGGAGUGGAAGGGAGUACAGACGACCCACAAAUAGCCCCAGUGCCUCUCUGUCCCAAUCCUGAUUUGGGGGUUCCGGCUAUGUGCUUUUAUUGUCUGUCUACUUGUCUGUAGUCCAAAUCCCAGAUUCCAAGUCCCCAGUACCAAGCACAGGGCUUUCCCAGAAUCAACAUUCACUUAUCAUUUGUUGAAUAAGCUUUGAAUAAAGGGUCAAGUUCUCAGGGCUCUCCAGCUAUCGCCCUCUCCCCUACUAUGAAGAAAAUUCACUUGGGAGCCUUACUUUUCCCUUCUUUUUCCCUUUACAGAGGAAGAUAAGAAUUUUUUUAAAACACGUUCUCAUUUCCGAAUGAUUUAAAAAAAAAAAAAAAGUGGAUGCUGGUUGAGCGAGGAGCUCUGUGGCCUGGGAAACACCCAGAUUGUUUACCGUACUCAUGUGUACUGCCACCGAGCAGUCAGGGCUAUCUCUUAACCAGCUGCUUGCUAUGGACAAAUGACAUGUUGCCUCUGAACUUCAAUUUACUCACCUGUGUAAUGGGCAUACUCUCCAAACUCUGUGAGAUGACUCUAGAAGACGUGUUUCAUAGAAUGUUCUCCAGGUAGACUUAUUGUAAGGAACUUGGCAAACACACCUUCCUUUAACUUCCAGGCUUCCUCUCUCCUCUCACUGCCAGCUUCUACCCAGAGAUGCCCAUGGAAAAAAUGUACUGGCCCCAAAGACAAUAACAAAAUGGGAUUCAGUGGGAUGAGGGAAAGGAAGAACAAGCCUUUCAAAUUACAGUGAGAAAUCUCCAGCUGCUUUUUCUUCCUUCUUAAAUUGCAGCUUAUAUUGGGGUAAGCUAUUAGAAAAAACACUGUCCCAGAAUCCUGGGAAAUUAGCUCUUCCAAGAAGUCACUGUGUGGCCUUGGACAAGUCAUUGUGCUCUCUGAAUUCCUCUCUGGUCUAACAAAGGGGCUGGACCGGGGAGUCCCUACAGAAGAGUGUUGUGUAAGAGAGCACACUCUAGACCAGACAGACCUGGCUUCAAAUCUCAGUUCCUAUAGCCUGCUAGCCAUAUGACCCAAAUAUGUCUCAGUUUCCCCAUCUAUAAAGUAAGGUUAUUAGAUAUAACCUAGCUAAUGUGGUUAUCCUGAGGCUUAAAUGAAAUAAACUACAUAAGAGAUUUAACAGUGUGCCUGGUUUAUAGUAUUUAAGAAAAAGAAGUUGCUAUAUUAUUAAAACUGUCAUCCUCAUUAGUAUUGUUACUCUCAAAUGGUUGGGAUUUUAAGUUGAAGGCAAUCUCAGCAGAGGUGUGUUUUGAAUGUCCAUUUUCUCCCUGGGGGCUCACAGCAAUACCCUCAAGAGAGGGUGUCCAUCUGUCUGGCACACAACCUGGAAAAGGGAACCAUGCCCUCCUGUGUCCUUUCCCUGGGGCUUCGUGUUUUUCUCUAUGCCCUGCUCGGUCCAGUUCUAAGCACUCGAGCAUCUGCACUCUGGGCCCACACUGGUCAGGCAGCCAGGAGGGAGAGGAAACCAGAAUAAACAUGUUUUGCAAGAGCAGGGCUAGUUUAAGUGAAAGCAAUUCUAAAUAAGGACAAUACAAAGCCUUGGCUGCCUGUUGGCAGCUUCCUCAGCACAGGGGUUUGCCAUGGAAAACCAAAGGUCAGACUGAUAAGCUGGGGGUGCCUGCAGGCAGGCUGGCAGGAAGCUUAUGACAAGAUCCCCUCACCCAGUAUUUGAAUCCAACACAGGCCGGGGGGUGUGGCUACAAGGACAAUUCAAAGACCCA